GGCCCGAGAGAGGCGAGCCGGCGACGGCGGCGCUUCUGCGGCGGCCUCCUCCCUCCCCACCCGGUGCCGCAGGAUUGCAGCUGGCACUGGAGGGUGGGCAAGCUCGAGGGAGGGGCGCGGAGCCCCGGCGCGGAGCCGGGCGCGGGGCUUUGAUGGAUUUAGCUGCUUGCGCGAGCGCGUGUGUGCUCCCUGCCGCGGCGGCGGCGCCCGGGCCCUGCCGGGUCCGCAUGAACCCCGAGCGCUUCCGAGGAAGCCGAGAUCCCCCGCGAGGUGAUCGAGAGGCUGGCCCGCAGUCAGAUCCACAGCAUCCGGGACCUCCAGCGACUCCUGGAGAUAGACUCCGUAGGGAGUGAGGAU
rnacentral:sRNA from 1 species